AUGCACACGGUGAAGAUUUUGGCUCUUAGGUGUUCCGGGUAUGAAUUGGAUGGAGUUCUUAAUAUCCUUAGGAGGUUCCCCUGUCUCGAGAAGCUCUAUAUCAUUUUUCACAAACACAACGAGACGGAUACGAAAAUCGAGCCUCAAUGUGACCGACUAUAUCCAAUUGAAUGCCUUCAAACCAAUCUCAAAACAGUGGUGUUUGAAACAUUCGUGGGCCAUGAUAAACAGCUUGAGUUUGCCAAGUUUUUUGUUUUGAAUGCAAAAGUGCUAAACAAAAUUGAAUUUGAUGGAAUGUAUGGUGCCUACAACAGUGUAUCGCUGGCUUAUCAACACAGGCUGCUACGAGUGGAAGACAGAGCUUCUCGAGAUGCUCAAUUUGAAUUCAUGAAUAGAAAUCGAUAUACUGUGAAGCAUCUCCAAAAGCAUAUCCAUGAUUUGUCAGUGGCUGACCCCUUCGAACAGCCAUAG
rnacentral:rRNA from 1 species